ACACGUGUAGACAAAGGGGGGACUCCACAACACAGAGCCUGAUGUGCCCCUCUCAAACUUUUUCCACGGACGCACGGGAACGCGCGCGCAGCGACCCAGCUCAGGUGGAAUUUUAACAGAUUAUCAAGCAAGACGCCUCCUGUGGAAGGUCAAGAAAAUAGCAAAAACAAUAUGCUGAAACAACACAGAGAUGGCACAGGAUCACCUAUCAGACCACGCUUUAAGACGGAGAGAAGGAUUAAGAGACUGUGCAGGUUCAUUUUGGGGAGAAGGUAAAGACUUAUCUCAUGUUGGAUUUAAACUUCUGCAGCAGCGGUGCCUGUUGGAUUGCGUUUUAGGGCACACGUGAAAAUCCAGAACUCAUGGAGACACUUUAAGGAUUAUCCGAAUUCAUGGUAAAUCUCUCCGCAAGACACAUCUUGAGCCAGAGUCCCUGGGAUAGCAGGAUAUUGCACUUCUGAUCCUCCUCGCCCCUCGGCACGGGGAGCGUGGGAGUACUGAGGUCUGGGAGAUCACGACCCUAAUUCUUUCCAAGACAGACGGUUUAAUUAACACUGUAGGAAUCCUCUCCAACUCCAGACCUCUGCAAAAGGAAUUUACUCAGGAAUUACACCACACAGGUCUUGGACAUUUAGUGGACCAGAAAGCUGACAGAUGAUGCCCAUGAAUGAUGGAUGAUGUCUUCUUGGUGCCAGUUGAAUGCAUUAUAAACCAAUGAUACGGCCCCUGUCAUUGUGGCCCACGUUGGCAGAAGACCACCUCACAGGGAUUUUCCUCUUCACCAGUGUGGCAGACUGAGAUUCAGUGGCAACAUCUACCCAGAAGCUAAUGCCUGUUCCAGAGGAGAGAAGAUCUAAAAAACAAGCCUGCAUAAAAAGGCAGAGUGGAAGAUGCUGAUAGAGAGGAGAAUGUCUUGAUAGGGAAAGAAAAACAGAAGAAAAAGAUGAAAGGACAUUUUUUUUGUGUGUGUUUGUAUGUUUGAAGAUUUAGCAUCAUCCUGUGGUAUCAGUGUUAAAUUGUACAGCAUACUACUCACUGAGCAGAAGUGGUUAAAUGGGAUUCAAAUGGUUUUGCAUGCUUUGUAUAGUAAAGCACGGCUUUGCAUUUGUAAAAUUGAGAUGAGCAUUUAAUUUUAUAUAUAUAUAUAUAUAUAUAUAUAUAUAUAUAUAUAUAUAUAUAUAUUUUAUUUUUAUUUAUUUUUUUUCUUUUUGUGUAUAACCCCAUGAAACUCAAUCUAAAGGCUAUGCUUAUACAAGACAAGCCUUUUACUCAAGAUUCCAUAAAUUGCAGAAGCUAAGGUCAGAGCUUAACAUCAUAAGCUUGGAUUGCAUCUACUAUUAUGGAGGUUGUCUAACGUUGGUCGCUGGGGAACAAAAACAGCAUUAAGUACCUGCAGUCAUGCAAUAUGCAUAGCUCAGAGGAGAAAUAUGCCUAAACUCAGGCUCUUGUAACAAUAAAAAUGUGAAGAGUUUAACUUUUAUCAUUGCAGCAUGGAUUAUUAAUGAACUUUGUAUUGCUCUGUGAAAAAUCUAUGUAAUAUAAAGGUGUACAAAGAGAUUUCUUUCCUGCUCAGAGGACUUGUGAAAACAUAGCUCAUGAUAGCAACUGCAAAUGUCACAUGAGGACAGAGCAGGAAUAUUCUGAAUGCUAAAUGAAGAGGGGAAAAGCAUUGCUCAAAGUUCUUGACAUGCAGGUUUCUUAAAUAGAUGGACAAUUAUUCAAGUUUGUUUGUCAGUUUUUAUUUCUGGCCAUCACAAAUCAGUGUAAUAAGCAAAACAAAGCAAAAACAAAAAGAUUAUUUUAUAACGGGAGUCUAAUGUAAAACUUGGAAUAUCAUAGUUUACUUCUGGAAUGCAUAUACAGUUACAACCAGAAGUUUGUGUGCACGAAUGAAAAGACACAUACACAUUUUUCUUUCACCAUGUGAAGUCAAAUUAGAUAACAUUUCUUUUGUCUUAGAUCAGAAUUACAAAAAAAAAAUGUGUAUUUUUAUUCAGUGUACAUAAACUUCUGUUUUCAACUGUAUAGUGUCAUGCAUUUUACAAAAACAAAAAUGUUCUGAUCUCACAUACUGAAAUACCAGGGCAAUGUUUUUAAGUAUAUAAUCUAACAAAUAUUCCCAUGGUACCUAUACAUGCAUUAGUACUCUUGUGUCUUUGCAACACUAAAAUUUUGCAAUAUGCAGGCUAUGCAAUAUUAACCAAACAGUAUUUACUUGUAAAUUACAUUUGUAUCAAGCUUUAAGGAAAUAUUUUUCUUUUCUUUUUAAAAAAAUUGUAAAUAAUAAUUACCCCUGGUUAAGUGCUUUGAAUAGCUGCCGUACAUAAUGGCAGAAAGCCCCAAGAAAAAUAUGUUAUCUUCACACAGGGAAACAUUUUUAGCCGGGUAGGGUAUCAAAAACAUCAUCCUGGGGUUGGCCUUGUCACACAAAUGUAGCAAGCAGUUUUAGGCCCCUGCUAUCUGCCUCUCUCCAUCUUUGUCUGUGGUUACUAACCCUGGCUACUUUAGCCAGAAAGGGCCCCUUUUGUAUGUUUCAUACACAGUUUAUCACACUUCCUCUCACUCUGCUCGCUACUCUCAGCAAGUCUGCCAGAGAGGAAAAUCAAAGAGUUAGGGCCAGAAACGAUAUAGCGCAAAUUGUAUAUUAUAAGUAUGAUUUACACAUUACAAGGUUUAAAGACAAAAAAAUAUCAGGGGUUUCAAGUACAUACUGCAACAUCAUUCAAGUUUUCAUAAGAAGAUUCAAAUUUCACGUGUUGGUUUAAAUCGCUUGUGAAUCGAACAGGCAAGUCAGUUUCAGCUUCCACUUUAUUAGCGAUGGUUGAUUUGUUCAGACUUUACACCAAAUAUUUUUUGUGUUUUUGCAUUCUGGUGUGGUGUAAACAAAAUUAGGCAGAAAAAAUAAAUGUACUUUUCAUGGAACUACAAAAUAUAUGUUUGGGCACAGUAUAGAGAGAUCACCAGUUCAUUACCUAAGUAACCGACUCACUUAUAAUGAGUCGGUCGUAAACAAAGUUAAGUUGCAUAUCUUUAUUAACAUGUACAUAAAGAUCUGUACAUUUUUAAUGGAAAAUAAAUCAUUUUCCAUUGAAUUUUUUGGAGUGACAGAAUAAUACAAUAUACAAUCUCAGGAAUAUGAUCACAGUAAUAUGAUAUUUUGACAAUAUUUUUGGAAAAGCUAGCCAUCCAAAUUUUAGUUUUUACUUAAUUUUAUGCAAGGAGUAGGAAACUUUCAUGGAUCACAAUUUGUUUUAUGAAGAAUUAGCCAAAAAAAAAAAAAGUACAAAAAUUUAAUUUGGGGUUGAUCAAAGUAUCUUAGACUUUGUACUAAAUGUGAUUUAAUACAGAUUUCACUCAUGAACAGUGACCUGUUUAAUGCUGUUACGAUGCCCCUAAGCAGGAGCUAACUUCAGAAAAAUCUAUAGGAUGGCUACAAAUUGAUGGAUACUUAUUACAAAAUAAUCUGCACCAAAGAGAACCAAAACUAUGACAUCCUAAACAACAACAUUACAAAUAGUAAAAUGUAUGAAGCGACUAACACCUGAUAUUUUUAUACUGCUUGUAUCUGUUGUCAGUGCUAUAUAUAUAUAUAUAUAUAUAUAUAUAUAAAGAUUUAUUUUUCUUUGCAUUUCAUUGUUUUUGUCUUCCAUUUGCUCCUUGAGUUAAAAAUAUUUUAUUUGAAAAAGAAGUUAAGAAUAUUGUUCCACACAAUUCUUCCAACUUGCUGAACUAAAAAAAAAAAACAUGGAAGAGGAACAGAAAAUAACGGAUUAAAAGGAAAAAAAAAUCACAAAGAGUUUCAAUUUCUGAAAAAAGCUAACUUUGGAUUGCAAUACACAUAAUUUUCCACUUGUUUGCUGCCUAGGCUAUUGUGUAGUCUAUUCUGUACCCCCCGCCCCCAGUGUACCGUAGCUAGGACAUGUGUAAGUACACGAGCCGUUAACCCCCCAGAGGAAGUGUGCAGGAAAUGAGAUCAGCCUUAAAGAGAGGUAACGCCUGAGCCUGAACCACUGACACCAGACCAAUAACUGUCACUCACUGCACCUGAUACUGAGGUACUAAAAAUGCAGCAAAAUAACAGGAAGGUCAGAGCAGUACAGAACAGAGCACAAUAGCCCCCCUUUAAGAAUGAAAGCGAUGAGCAUGUGACAGGAAAGCAGGGAAACACAAACAUGAGACAAAGACAAUGAAGAGGACAGCUUGAAAUAGAGCAAACAAAACAGGAGAGAGAAGUAAAAAAUUACCAUGUUUGUCAUCCUCUAGAUUCAGUUUGGAGUUAAAUGUACCAGUUGUGGGUGGGAGAUUGUUGUCACAAGUGGGAUCAAAUAAAAUAGAACAAAAGCCAUUUUAGCAAAGGGGAGAAUAAAACUGCAAAAGACAUGUUCAGUGCUGUAAGAGGAAGAAGACACACAGGAACAGCAUCGCCAACACUCAAGAUCUGAGCCUUACAGAACACCAGGAACAAGCAGCCAAUUUUUGUGUCCUUGCAUGUUGUAAACUAACACAACCUGAAUCCCCUUUACCCUGAUGAAAUGUACAGCUGGUAGGUUUCGCUGAGUCUUGCAGGCCUGACGGCGACACGUGGAUUUGUGCUUCCAUGUCCAGGUGGACCUCAGCAAUGCUCAGACACAGAGCAACUUUUUGAUUUCUCUACAGUAAAAAGAAGAAAAAAGAAAAGCAGGAUAAUGAAACAUUUACAGUAUCUGCUUCCAUGUACAUAUAAGAACAAGGACUAUGUUGACAGCAUAUGUGAUUUUUUUAGAAAUCGCUCACAACUGCAGUUUCAGAAAACUUAAAACUUGGUAUUAACAGCACAUGUCAAACUCGAGGACCGUGGGCUAAAUCCAGGCCAUCAUAACUCUCUGUGUGGCCCUCUGAAAAUUAGCGGGCCACAAAUAUCGAACCUUCAAAAUAUCUGCCCUGUGCUUUAACAUUUUUUAUGAAUCAAAUCAAAUCUAUUUUUAUUUGUAUAGCGCCAAAUCACAUCAGUGUGAAAAGAUGUUCAAUAUAUAAUCUUAAGGAUUUCUCAUCAAAUAUAGAGCUCUUUGUUAAUAUUUUAGUUCAGUUCUUUGUUAUUGCAUAGUUUCGUCAAUACAUUCUGCCACAGUAAUUUGAGGAACUGAAUGUAUGUAAAGCUGCUGAGUUCUGAAGCAUAUAAAGUGGAAAAGUGUUUUACAAACAUCAACGCAUUUCUCAGGAAGAAAAAAAAAAUGGCAUUGCUAUUGACAUAAAAUUCACACUGACUGUUGAUUACGAUCAAAGUAAUCUUUAAAAACAACAAAAAAAAAAUCAAAGCAAUUUUUUCUGGAAUUAAGUUAUAAGUACUGAAGCAGAAAGGUACUGGGAAAGAAUACUGAACACGUGAACAAACUUAUCUGCGAAGACAUAAAAAGCCAAGAAAGAAUCUGAAAUCUUUCAGGACUUGGGAAAACUGCUGCUUCUGUGUGUACAUCAAUAUCUGCCGGUUUACUAUUAUUUGAUGGCCACUACUAGCUUCAACCCAAAUUUGAUGAAACCUGGCAUAGGGGUCCAAGUUUAACUGACAGUGUUAAAAAGGAAUCACUGGUAAUUGCUUAUUAUCUUCUCCCCCUGGAGCACAUCACCCCGGUUCUGAAGUCCUUACACCAAUUUCUUGAAAACCCAGAGAAUAAGAGUAAAAUAAUUUUGGUGAGUUAUUAAUCCUGAAUGGCUUAGCACCCAAUUACAUUAAGGAUUUGACAUUGCUUUAUCAGACAUUCAGACCGUUGAGGUCUUUGGGUUGAAGUCUGCUCUGCAGAAUCAGAACAAAAAGUACAAAAGCAGCAUUAAGUGUUUUUUUUAUGCUGCUUUAAUCUGGAUCAAACUUCCAGAAAACUGUGAAAACAUUGAAAAAAUGAGUUCAUUUAAAUCAAGGUUAUAAAUUAAUCUGCUCAGAGUUGCAUUUGAUUUAUAAAAAUCGGAACAUCUUUAAUUGUACUCUGUAUUUCAACUUCUCAUCACUUUCUUUUAUUUUUGCCACUGCAAUGUAACAUUUCUUUUUUUUGUUUUCAUCUUGUAAAGCACUUUGAUUGCCCCUUUCCUGAAAUGUGCAAUGUAAAUAAACUUGACUUGAUGAACGUA